ACUGUCACGGCCCUGACGUCAGUUAUUAAAGUGUCUGUAAGGUUUAUGUUUUAUCGUUAGUGUUCCGUUUAUUCGUUCUUGCUUUUUAAGCUUUGUUUAUGUUACGGGACAUGCCCUUAUGUUUAACGGAUUUUUGUUUUACCCAAAAUUAGCCGCAUUUAGAACAAAUCAAUCAGAGAUUUUCGGUUUACAACAUCUCGAGCACUUUCUAAAUCUAUGUAAGGUGGAGAUGAUG